GCUUCCUUUAAGAAUAGCACAUACACAAAAAUUGGAAUGACAGAGAAUAUUAGCAUGGCCCAUGCUCAAAGAUGACAUGCAAAUUUCUGACAUGUUCCAUAUUUAA